AUUGAACGCUGGCGGCAGGCCUAACACAUGCAAGUCGAGCGGAUGAAGGGAGCUUGCUCCUGGAUUCAGCGGCGGACGGGUGAGUAAUGCCUAGGAAUCUGCCUGGUAGUGGGGGAUAACGUCCGGAAACGGGCGUUAAUACCGCAUACGUCCUGAGGGAGAAAGUGGGGGAUCUUCGGACCUCACGCUAUCAGAUGAGCCUAGGUCGGAUUAGCUAGUUGGUGGGGUAAGGCCUACCAAGGCGACGAUCCGUAACUGGUCUGAGAGGAUGAUCAGUCACACUGGAACUGAGACACGGUCCAGACUCCUACGGGAGGCAGCAGUGGGGAAUAUUGGACAAUGGGCGAAAGCCUGAUCCAGCCAUGCCGCGUGUGUGAAGAAGGUCUUCGGAUUGUAAAGCACUUUAAGUUGGGAGGAAGGGCAGUAAGUUAAUACCUUGCUGUUUUGACGUUACCAACAGAAUAAGCACCGGCUAACUUCGUG
rnacentral:rRNA from 1 species